AGGGAACCAGGGGGAGGUAAUUGAAUCAUGGGUGCUGGUCUUUCUCAUGCUGUUCUCCUAUAGUGAAUAAGUCCCACAAGAUCUGAUGGGCUUAUCAGGGGUUUCUGCCUUUGCUUCUUCCUCUUCUCUCUUGCCACCAUCAUGUAAGAAGUGCCAUUCACUCUCCACAAUGAUUUUGACCUCCCCAGCCAAGUGGAACUGUAAGUCCAUCAAACCUCUUUUUCUUCCCAGUUUUGGGUAUGUCUUUGUCAGCAGUGUGAAAAUGGACUAAUACAGGCAUCCAUGGAUUUUGGUAUCUGCUGGGAAUCCUGGAAUCAAUCCCUCUCAUGCAUGCUGAGCUACUUCAGGUUUUCUAAUUGCGGAAGGCCCUUCAGAGAUGUAAGUGUGGUUCAACAGAUCGCCACGCCAUCCACGGCACUGUCAGAUCUUACAAAACUCAACAGAAAAGGGGCGCGCGGGAAGAAAAUGCAGCAUUUCCUCUCAGAUGCCAGAUAUUCAUCUCCAAAGGUAUUAAAAGGAGGGGUGUGUGCCUGUGUAAAGAAGCUGGUCUUUUCCAACUUGGGCAAGUUGCUCGAAUUUCUUCAAGCCUUUCUUUUUCCGCCUGCUAAACAAAACAAGCAUCCCACUUAGGACAAAUUCACACCCCUUAAAGCG
rnacentral:lncRNA from 1 species